rnacentral:rRNA from 1 species
UACGGAGGGGACUAGCGUUGUUCGGAAUUACUGGGCGUAAAGCGCGCGUAGGCGGAUUUGCAAGUCGGGGGUGAAAGCCCGAGGCUCAACCUCGGAACUGCCCUCGAUACUGCAAAUCUCGAGUCCGAGAGAGGUGAGUGGAAUUCCUAGUGUAGAGGUGAAAUUCGUAGAUAUUAGGAAGAACACCAGUGGCGAAGGCGGCUCACUGGCUCGGUACUGACGCUGAGGCGCGGAAAGCGUGGGGAGCAAACAGG